rnacentral:rRNA from 1 species
GUGGGGAAUCUUCCACAAUGGACGAAAGUCUGAUGGAGCAACGCCGCGUGAGUGAAGAAGGGUUUCGGCUCGUAAAGCUCUGUUGUCGGGGACGAAUGUGCAGUAUUUGAAUAAAGUAGUGUAAUGACGGUACCUGACGAGGAAGCCACGGCUAACUACGUGCCAGCAGCCGCGGUAAUACGUAGGUGGCAAGCGUUGUCCGGAAUUAUUGGGCGUAAAGGGAGCGCAGGCGGGAAGGUAAGUCGGUCUUAAAAGUGCGGGGCUCAACCCCGUGAUGGGAUCGAAACUAUCUUUCUUGAGUGCAGGAGAGGAAAGUGGAAUUCCUAGUGUAGCGGUGAAAUGCGUAGAUAUUAGGAGGAACACCAGUGGCGAAGGCGACUUUCUGGACUGUAACUGACGCUGAGGCUCGAAAGCCAGGGGAGCGAACGGGAUUAGAUACCCUAGUAGUCC